rnacentral:rRNA from 1 species
CAGUCGCCGCGGUAAUACAGAGGGUGCGAGCGUUAAUCGGAUUUACUGGGCGUAAAGCGUGCGUAGGCGGCUUUUUAAGUCGGAUGUGAAAUCCCUGAGCUUAACUUAGGAAUUGCAUUCGAUACUGGGAAGCUAGAGUAUGGGAGAGGAUGGUAGAAUUCCAGGUGUAGCGGUGAAAUGCGUAGAGAUCUGGAGGAAUACCGAUGGCGAAGGCAGCCAUCUGGCCUAAUACUGACGCUGAGGUACGAAAGCAUGGGGAGCAAACAGGAUUAGAUACCCCUGUAGUCCCUGUCUCUUAUAC